rnacentral:rRNA from 2 species
GUAACAAGGUCUCCGUUGGUGAACCAGCGGAGGGAUCAUUACCGAGUUUACAACUCCCAAACCCCUGUGAACAUACCUUAUGUUGCCUCGGCGGAUCAGCCCGCGCCCCGUAAAAAGGGACGGCCCGCCGCAGGAACCCUAAACUCUGUUUUUAGUGGAACUUCUGAGUAUAAAAAACAAAUAAAUCAAAACUUUCAACAACGGAUCUCUUGGUUCUGGCAUCGAUGAAGAACGCAGCAAAAUGCGAUAAGUAAUGUGAAUUGCAGAAUUCAGUGAAUCAUCGAAUCUUUGAACGCACAUUGCGCCCGCCAGUAUUCUGGCGGGCAUGCCUGUUCGAGCGUCAUUUCAACCCUCAAGCCCAGCUUGGUGUUGGGAGCUGCAGUCCUGCUGCACUCCCCAAAUACAUUGGCGGUCACGUCGAGCUUCCAUAGCGUAGUAAUUUACAUAUCGUUACUGGUAAUCGUCGCGGCCACGCCGUUAAACCCCAACUUCUGAAUGUUGACCUCGGAUCAGGUAGGAAUACCCGCUGAACUUAAGCAUAUCA